rnacentral:lncRNA from 1 species
GACUCAUAUACCCAACAUUCUCAUCCUGGAGACCCUAGAGUCCAGCCACCUCUGAAACCUGACCUGAUCUGUGCGCUGGGCCUAUAAGCAGGAGACACCCCCUUAUCAUUUCCUGGAUGUCAGCUGCCCCCACUUCUCUGAGCCCCAGGACCACCCAUUCCUUGGCGUUCACAAUCACCUCAAGGCUCCAGGACCAUGGCACCAACCUGACCUGUCAGGUGAAGUUUCUCAGAGCUGGUGUGACUGCAGAGAGAACCAUCCAGCUCAAUGUCUCCUA